rnacentral:rRNA from 1 species
GACGAACGCUGGCGGCGUGCCUAACACAUGCAAGUCGAACGAGGUCCAAGGGAGCUUGCUCCCUGAAGACCUAGUGGCGAACGGGUGAGUAACACGUGAGAAACCUGCCCUCGAGUGGGGAAUAACCCGGGGAAACCCGGGCUAAUACCGCAUACGCUCCUCUGGUCGCAUGGCCGGAGGAGGAAAGUUUUUCGCUCAAGGAGGGUCUCGCGGCCUAUCAGCUUGUUGGCGGGGUAACGGCCCACCAAGGCUACGACGGGUAGCUGGUUUGAGAGAACGAUCAGCCACUCUGGGAGUGAGACACGGCCCAGACUCCUACGGGAGGCAGCAGUGGGGAAUCUUGCGCGAUGGGCGAAAGCCUGACGCAGCAACGCCGCGUGCGGGAUGACGGCCUUCGUGGUUGUAAACCGCUUUCAGCAGGGACGAAAAUGACGGUACCUGCAGAAGAAGCUCCGGCUAACUACGUGCCAGCCGCCGCCGUAA